CUGAAACUCAGUCCUAGCAGAGGCUGGGGCCAGGAGACCAUGGUGCUCCUGUGGUCUCUCAGUGUAGUGUUCCUGGACGAUCAUUAAACCCAGAAAGAAGAAAAGGAGCUUACUAGUGUUAUUGCAGUGGAGCCUGAAACUUAACUGCCUAUCAACUGGAUUGUUUUACAACUUGAUCAGGAUGCAGCUCUCAGCUACUUCUCCAGCACCAUGCCUCCAUGCCUGUCUGUGUACCACCAUGAGCCCCACCAGGAUGAUCAUGGACUAACUCUCUGAAACUGCACUGGAGAUGGGACCUGGGUCGUCAGGAUUGGUGGCAAAUGCCUUUUCUCCCUGCUCUGUGAAGUUUUAUCUGGCUUGGGUCAUCAAGACUUAAUGUUGCUCAGUGGUAGAAUGCUUGCCUACUUUA